GACGAACGCUGGCGGCGUGCUUAACACAUGCAAGUCGAACGGAGUGGCGAAAGGGUGAGUCACACGUGGGUGACCUUCCCUGCACUUCGGGAUAAGCCUGGGGAACUGGGUCUAAUACAGGUUAGUGUGGGAUGGGCCCGCGGCCUAUCAGCUGGUUGGUGGGGUAAUGGCCUACCAAGGCGGCGGCGGGUAGCCGGCCUGAGAGGGUGGACGGCCACAUUGGGACUGGGACAGUGCCCAUACUCCGACGGGGGGCAGAAGUGGGGAAUAUUGCACAAUGGGCGGAAGCCUGAUGCAGAGACGCCGCGUGGGAGAUGACGGCCUUCGGGUUGUAAACUCCUUUCACCAGCGACGCGGUAGAUGGAGAAGAAGCACCGGCUAACUACGUGCCAGCAGCCGCGGUAAUUC
rnacentral:rRNA from 1 species